rnacentral:lncRNA from 1 species
AUUGCUUGAUUUUGGGUAGCUAAUGUAAUAUCCUAUUAGUCCCACAUCGGAAGUGGGGAAUGUGUAUGAUUAGCUUAUAAGGGUCUGAUGAGUGUACUACGUUAACUCCCGCUUAAGCAUUUUGGUCCGCCGUUGAGGACCAAAAUGGAGUUAUUGGCCAGUUAGCUCAUCAGACUCGGGUCGUGACAUUUGGUAUCAGAGCCGACCUAGCAUUUGGGCAGGGUGAGAGGGCUCGAGUAGGAAAGGGCUACCCGUGGAUGGAGUCGAGAACUCAUCACGGCGUGGAGCCACCACUGAGUUAAACCUCACAUGCACUAUGCUAGGGUUCGAUCUGGGUUAUGUCGGGCCUUGACGAGGACGUCAAGCUAAUUGAGUUGGGGAUAAUGUAAUAUCCCAUUAGUCCCACAUCGGAAGUGGGGAAUGUGUAUGAUUAGCUUAUAAGGGUCUGAUGAGUGUACUGCGUUAACUCCCGCUUAAGCAUUUUGGUCCGCCGUUGAGGACCAAAAUGGAGUUAUUGGCCAGUUAGCUCAUCAGACCCGGGUCGUGACAUUUGGUAUCAGAGCCGACCUAGCAUUUGGGCAGGGUGAGAGGGCUCGAGUAGGAAAGGGCUACCCGUGGAUGGAGUCGAGAACUCAUCACGGCGUGGAGCCACCACUGAGUUAAACCUCACAUGCACUAUGCUAGGGUUCGAUCUGGGAUAUGUCAGGCCUUGACGAGGACGUCAAGCUCAAACUCAGCCAUCCCAACCUUUGUGCGCUCCACAUUCUUCCAAGCUUGCUUGUUCUCGUGGUGCCUCUUGCACGAAGGGUUGACCAUUCAUCUGAAUGCUAAUCUCAGAUGCCCGCUCCUCUGAGCGACUCCUUUUCCCUACAUCUCCAUGCUCGUUUUCCCCCAAACGGUCGCGCGUAUGCUGACUGCCCUCAACGCAGCCCCGCUAGGUCCCCCACGUUUACAUGCUAAGUGUUUCUAUGAGUGCUUGUCCCGCUCUGAUACCAUCUGUCACGGACUUAGCUGGUUUUGCCUAAGUCGUGCGGCACUCUUGCGUGUUCGUCCGCAAAGGUCAGCCUCCCCGAAGCCUCCCAUUGUCCCUUAGGACCAACAAAAGAGAGAACGGGUUAGAGAGAACGCCUCAAUCGGGAUCCACAAGGAAACAUCUCUGAAAAACACUUCAUAGACAAUGCAAAUUACAAACAAACUUUACAAGCUCUGAACAGUGGCACAACAAAGGGUAAAAUGGUCCAUUACAUAUCGAGAAUCUCUCGCAUGUGUCCACAUGGCACAACCUUUAUUUACAAGCCUAAAGAGGCCACCAACCCAACUAAAAUGGGACUAUUAAGCCUUCGGCUGCCCCUCUACAUGCUGUACAAGGCAUGAACAUGCCAAAAGACACGGACAUACAUAAGCAUUACAUCAAACAUCCUGUUUCGAAGUUUGUCCGUGACACCAUGGCGCCGAGUUUCGGUCGCCUUGGGAUGGCCACGAACAUUCCAUCGUCCGCAUACAAGCCCAUGUAUGAGUACCAAAUUCUUCGAGUUAGCAAUUCCCCUCACCUCUGUGAGCUUUGCAUAACUCUUUUGGUCGUUGAGCAACUCAUUCCACCUUGGAUGGUCUCAUCCUUUACCAAGCGCCUCUCUUGCCUUGAGCACCAUUAAGUAUGGUUGUCAACGUUGAGCCGUAGCUCAAACUCAACCAUCUCAACCUUUGUGCGCUCCACAUUCAUCCAAGCUUGCCUGUUCUCGUGGUGCCUCUUGCGCGAAGGGUUGGCUAUUCCUCUGAAUGCCAAUCUCAGAUGCCCGCUCCUCUGAGCGACUCCUUUUCCCUACAUCUCCAUGCCCGUUUUCCCCCAAACGGUCGCACGUGUGCUAACUGCCUCAACGUAGCCCCGCUAGGUCCCCCACGUUUGCAUGCUAAGUGUUUCUAUGAGUGCUUGUCCCGCUCUGAUACCAUCUGUCCCGGACUUAGCUGGUUUUGCCUAAGUCGUGCGGCACCCUUGCGUGUCCGUCCGCAAAGGUCAGCCUCUCCGAAGUCUCCCAUUGUCCCUUAGGACCAACAAAAGGGAGAACGGGCUAGAGAGAACGCCUCAAUCGGGAUCCACAAGUAAACAUCUCCGAAAACACUCCAUAGACAAUGCAAAUUACAAACAGACUUUACAAGCUCUGAACAGUGGCACAACAAAGGGUAAAAUGGUCUAUUACAGACCGAGAAUCUCUCGCACGUGUCCACAUGACACAACCUUUAUUUACAAGCCUAAAGAGGCCACCAACCCAACUAAAAUGAGACUAUUAAGCCUUCGGUCGCCCCUCUACAUGCUGUACAAGGCAUGAACAUGCCAAAAGACACGAACAUACAUAAGCAUUACAUCAAAUACCUUGUUUAAAAGUUUGUCCGUGACAAUGCGGUAGGGUGGUCUCGCUGGAGGCUUCACUCCUGGCUCCAGCUCGAUGCUGCGAUCCACGCCUUUGCGUGGUGGAAGAGUCUUCGGCAACUCGGGUGGCAUAACGUCUUUGAACUCUUUCAGGACGUUCGCCACCACAGCAGGUUCUUGAAUGGCCUUCUCGUUGAGUGGCUCUAGCUUCAUAGCAGCCACGAAUGUCAAUCCGCCUUUUCGCACCCCUUUCUUCAGUUGUAAUGCCGAUAUGUGUUGGGGCUCCUUGGUUCCUCUCCGAGAGACGGGAACCACGCAGGGGUCAUCGCCUCCCAUCAUACAUAGGGAGUUCAAGAAUGGCAUUAGCACCAACUUCGCCGCGUGCAUAAACUCCAUUCCAAGAAUCACUUGGAAGUCAUCUAGUGGCACGGCCAUCAUGUUGGUGUUCCCGCUCCAUGUCCCGAUUUUGAUGGGAACACCCUUCGCCAACCCGGAGAUUUGCCUGGCCUCCGAGUUCACCGCCUUCAUUCGGCUUGGACUCUUCUCCAAGAUCAACCCAAGUCGCUGUGCUUCUCGAUCGGCUAUGAAGUUGUGGGUAGCGCCCGUGUCCACCAUUGCACGGGUCGUUUGGCCAUUUAGCUUGAUGUCUACAUACAUCAGCUCACUACUUCCUGCUUUUUGUAGCUUUGUCUUGAUGUUCUCCCCCACUUGACCCCGCAUGGCGUUCAACAAACGCAUUGUUCCCAUUCGGGGUCCUUGCGACUCCUCGUCGUCGUUGCUGGAUUCAGAACUGCUCGAACUAAGAGAAACAGCUUUGCUCUUGUCCGAUCGGGGGGUGGUGGAUGGAAGCCGUCAAAGCAUUGAGUGCCUGUUUUUGUGGGCACUCCCUCACCAUGUGCGGUCCUCCGCACAAGAAACAUCCUCCAGGUUUCGAGGUCUUGCCUUUCGGGUUUGGCCCUUUGUGGGAACUCUUCUUCUUUUGUUCGCCCCCGAGCUCCUUCCCUCGAGAAUGUUUUGGAGGGCGAUUUCCUGAAGAUUGUUUCCUUCUCCCUGGGUCUUCGGAGGAAACAAAGUCGGUGAGCCUUUCUGCAGCAGCAAUUGCCUCGACCACAUCGGUAACAUUCCUUCGAUUUAGCUCCUGUUGAGCCCAUGACUUCAAACCAUCGAGGAAGCUGAACAACUUGUCCUUCUCGGACAUGUCCUGUAUGUCCAGCAUUAGUGUAGAAAAUUAUUUUACAUAGUCUCAGAUGGUGGUACUUUGGCGGAGUUGUCUCAACUUCCUUCUUGCGACGAACUCUGUGUUCUCCGGUAGGAACUGAGUUCUCAACUCCCGCUUCAAGUCCUCCUAUGUGUCGACUCGACACCGACCUUGUUUGAUCUCCUCCCAACGGGUUCGCCACCAAAGUUUUGUAUCUCCGUUCAGAUACAUUGUUGCUAUAGAAACUUUGGUAUCUUCAGAAUCGGGCCUCGUAGCUCGGAAGUAUUGUUCCAUGUCGAACAUAAAGUUCUCGAGCUCUUUGGCAUCUCUUGCCCCUCCAUAUCCAUGAGGCUCGGGUGCCCUCAAAUUUUGUGGCGGUGCAACGUGGGUGUUGCUUCCUCCCGCAUUUAGUGUUCUUGUGAGCAUGACCACCUUUGAAGUGAGUUCCGCCACAACAUCCUGUAAGUGUUGCACGGAGUCUUUGGUGUCAUCAGACAGUCGGUCGACUAGGGCCUCGACCUUGUCAAUCCUGGACUCCGUUUCCUCUUGCGAGCUCUCUACCCCAACAAGCCUUUGUUGGCCAUGGUAGAGUUCCUCUAUGCUCGCUUCAAGAACAUCCAGGUGGGUUUUCGCCGUUGUGAGUCUCUCCUUGUGACUCUUUUUCCCAGUUAGCGCUCCAGAUUGCGUUUCCUCCGCUCGCGGAGAGUAGCCAACUUCUCGCUCAUCAUGUUUGCUGCUGCGCUCCUCUUGAGCGGCUCCAACAACAUGAGAGCGAGUGUGCACAUGCAGCCCACCUGCGACUGCUUGGGGCAAGGGUCCGGCUUGCCCCGUCUUGCUUGAUUCGCCACGAUGCUUUGCCAUGGCGAAGUUGCGAAGUUCGUUCGCUGCUCGCUCGAAGUGCUUGCCCGCUUUGAUACCACAAUGUCACGGCCUUAGCUGAAAUUGCCUAAGGCGUGAGGCACCCUUGCGGCCAAGACGCGAACUUAGCUUGCGUUGCCUAAGUCGCGCUUCGCCCUUGCGAUAUUGCUCCGCAAAGAUCAGCCCACUUGUAACCUCUCGCAGGUCCCGAAGGGCCUGUAAAAGAGAAAGUUGAUUAGUUCGAAAGAACGAGUAACGGACAAGUCCCGAAGUCUCAUGAAAAGGGGAAGCUUUACAAGCAAUUCAGCGAGCACCUUGCGUGCACAAGAGAAAAGAGGGAGAGGGGGAAAACAAGGGCUUUAGAAGGUUGAACGAACAGCUGCAAGCCCACAAACAGCUGCUCACCGAGUCCCGGGCGCGACAACAAGUUCCCGUCAAGGCAACGUGCGAACUUGCGAAUGAGUGUUCAACGCCCGGUACUAUACCGAAGCCCCAUCCAGCCCUGUGUCACCCGGGGGGUUCAAAGGGGCUGAGAUGGCUGACGUUUUGGUGAGCGGAGGCAGAUUCCAGAAAUCAGCCCGCGGCACGCGAAAACGGAGCUGUUUUGGGCUGUUUUGAGGCUGUUUUGCUCGAUUCGGUGAGCGGUUGCUUUGUAACGCUACAGCUGGUUCAAACUUACAUUUUUACAAGCAAAAUGACCCAAAACCAAGAGAAAACAUGCUGUCAAGCAGCUGUACAUGCAGGUGUGAGCGACGAAUGGUUCGUUGAACGGAGUUGUUGCGAGUGCGCGACGACCGUUCGUGACACCAUGUCUGUGUUUCUUUGCUUUAGCUGUUGAGAGGUUGGACCAUUAAUAUGCUUAUGAUUGUCUAUUCAUCAAAUUUUCUCUCAUUGCAGUUAUACUUCAAUCCUGCAACAGUAAAAAUGUUGAGCAACCUGAAGGUAAUGCUUUUUAUAUAAAGAUUGGGUUGAUUUCGAUGUUGUUUCUUUGCUGGAAUGAUAAAUGCUCAUGGAGUUUUGUUUAGAGGUUCUUUUUUCCUGUUAUGAUGAUUAUACUAUGAUUUUCUAAUUGAUAAACAGAUUUUGGUUGGUGAAACCAACAUAAAUAUGCUUUAUCAAUGACAAAAUAGCCUUCUUUUGGCUGGCAAAUGGAGUCAGCAGACAUGAAUAUAUUAUGCAUGGCUCUUUAGUGUUUGUUGACUACAUUAUAAAGAAGAAUAUAUGGCUAUAUCUGGCUUUCCUAGCUGGUUUUUGUCAAGAAAAGACAGUUGUGGACAGCCCAUAAAAGCCUUGCUUAUUCUCUUGAUAUCCAUCCUAUUCUAGAUUCUUUGAAGAUAUAUUUUUUUUAUGCUUUGAUGAUAUACCAUGUCCUCUUUUAUUCUAUGCUUGGCUUGUUCUCACAAGAUGCUGAGAAAUGAAUUUAUAUUGAAAGAAAAUCACUGAUAUUGUGGUGCAAUUUACACACUUGAAGGUUCUGGUGAUUGCAGUCCUUUUAAAGAUUAUAAUGCGAAGGCGAUUUUCCAUAAUUCAAGUAAGUUUGGGCCCUCGAAUGAUUUGCCGUUCAUGUGCAUGAAUGCAUUAUGUACUAUUAUACUUUAAUGGAUGAGAAUUAGAAAUGCCUAUAAUUUUUAAUGGGUUUUAAAUGUGAAAUUUGAUAUGCUAAUACAGUAAGUGCUUGAUAUGAGAUGAUCUGGUGGGGCCUAACUGCAAGUCAUAUAGAUUGCUGAUCCUUAUUAUUCUUGAUUCUGGUGAUAAUAUUUUUAUAUUGACCUUUAAGUUCUUCACUUAUUCUUUUUUGUUGAUGAGCAGUGGGAGGCUCUUGCACUUUUGUUGAUUGGGAUAAGUGUAAAUCAGCUCCGGUCAUUGCCUGAGGGUUCCACAGCGCUGGGUCUACCUGUUACAAUGAUUGCUUAUGUGUAUACACUAGUUUUUGUAAGUUUGAUCAUCUAUACUUAUAUUCUUAAUUGUUGUUGUUGCUUUUAGUUUUUGCAUUGAAUACUUUUUUAUUGUUUCCUCUAAUUAGAUGGCCAUUUUUUUGGGAAAAUUAUCUAAUUAACUUGUUAAGUUAUUCUGUUGGAUCUUACUCCAAAUCUUCUGUUAUCACUAAAAUGCUUUUGUUAGGUGAACAUCCUUAUCUUUAAAAUUUUAAAAUGUAUAUAAGUUGGUAACUUAUUUAUCCGCAGGAAUAUUGAAGUUUUGAUGUAAACUUUUGAGUACAUGAUAAAUUCCAGACUUUAUCCAGUGUGGAAUUUUAGUUUUAGUGUAUCAUACUAUUCUCUUUUAGGAUAGGCUAUCAAGUGUUAGAUGGUUGACAAAUGCACGAAGAUUAUCAAUAUUCUUGUGCUACCUUCUUUUCUAUAGUCCACCUAGAAGUUAUUUUUUCUUUCUUUUCUUGAAACAAGGUGUUGAAUGAACACUUGGUUUAUAUACGUAUAUCGGACAAGUAGCUAGCUAAGUGAUGCCUCGGAUGUAUGAAGAUUUCUAUUUGUAUAGUUUACACUAUAUAGUUCUGUCUUAAAUGCUCACAUGGUAUUUUAACAUUGCAGGUUACUGUUCCAUCAAUGGCCUCCGUCUACAAUGAAUAUGCUUUAAAAAGCCAGUUUGAGACAAGUAUCUACCUUCAGGUGACUCUUUAUAAUUGAAUGUGGUUUUGCCAAUCUCACUAUUAAUAAUGAAUAGCUUAAUAAGUCUCUGUACUUGUUUUCUCCCUAUCUGCCAAUUUAUCUUCGAUAAUUAUGUGCUUUUAUAAAGGCCAUAUUUGUUUAACAUUUAACUUUUUUUGCAGAACUUAUUUUUGUAUGGUUAUGGUGCAAUAUUUAACUUUUUGGGCAUUAUAGGAACUGUCAUUAUUAAAGGUGUGUAUUUUUGACUCUUGUUUAAUAUGUAAUGCUGAACAUUUAUGCUAUACAUAGUUGAUAUGCUAAUUCUGACCAGUUUACAUAAUUUGAGCUGAUCUACCUGUGAUGAUCCUAUUUUGGUUGUUACUGCACUAAUAUAGUCUUAUGAUUUCUGAUAUUGAAAUAAAAUCACUUUACAGGUCAUAUCCGAUACCAUUUACCAAUUUCAAGCAAGAAUGAAUCUUUUUAAUCAGUGUUUUCAAAAGGUGCUCGAGCGAGAUGAGGCCUGAGUGCCUGGCAAAACCGUCGGGUGAGGUGUUUCGAUGAAGCGCCGACCAGGCACUCACUUGAGCCUAGGUGUCAGGCGCCUCGGGUGAGUGCUCAAGUGAAGAUGGGUCUGGAUUCAUGCUUGGUUCUUGCCUUGCUCGAGCGCCUUAUAAAACCUUAAUGUGAGGUGUUUCAAUGAAGCGUCGCCUAGGCGCUUGCUUGUGCCCAAGCACCAGGCGCCUUGGGGGAGCGCCUGAGUGAAGAUAGGUUCAAGUUUGUGCCCUGGUUCAAUUGAACCAACUAACCUGCCCUAACACAACCCCUCCCUCCACCCUGCCCAACCCAGUUUGUCUUCGAAGUGAAACCCUACGUUCGUCGCCAUUGCCUUCGUCCGUAGUUCCAUCCGUCGUCAUCUUCAUCCGUAGCUUCCUCCAUCAUUAUCGCCUUCAUCCACAGCUUCCUUUGUCAUCGCCACCUUCAUCCAUAGCUUCCUCCACUGUUGCCUUCGUCUGCAUCAUCCUCUUUCGGCUCUGCCUUGAUUCGCAGCUUCCUCCAUUGUUGCCACGUUUGUUCGCAACUUCCUCCGCCAAUGCCACCUUCAUCCACAGUUUCCUCCGCUGCCAUCGCCCUCUUGCGUAGCUUCAUUCGCCACCCUCUCCUUCCCCUGCCUUCCUGCAUAGGUGUUGGUUACGCUCUUCUUAAUCUAUUCUUUCUCAUCUCGAUUAACUUGUUGUACCAUAUUAAGGUGGUGCACUAUUACUUUGUUAGGAGUUAGAACUGUUUAGCACCAUAUUGGAAACACUAUUUAGUACAGGUCUCCAUCAGUAGAACCUUGUUUAGCAUAGGUUUUAAUCGUAAUAUAUAUAUUUUAAAUUAUAAUAUUCUGGAGUGUCUCACUUCGCUUUGGUGGGCGCCUAGCGCCUCAGGUGUUUUGGGACCUUGGCAUCUAGCGCUUUUAAAAGUAUUGUUUUCCAUAAGUAUUGACAACUUUAAUGGUGGAUUUACUAGGAAUAUAAAAUCAAUAUCUACAACAUGUUUUGUGUCAAGGUUUUCUUAGUUUUAAUAUCAAAUAUAUUUAGAUCAUUUGGUUUUAGUCAUUACUAGGCUUACAUAGAACAUGUUAAAACUCUGAAUAACCAAGGGGUCACGGUCGCAGAAAUUUAAAAAAGAAAAAAAAUCUGAAGGAGAACAAAUUGUUAAUGUUACUACUUAGUAGAUCAACCACUGAAGAAAUUAAAUGUGGAUUUUAGAUUUGCUUGAGUUCCUUUAGCUUCUUUACAUGAUAAUGCUAAAGCAAAAGGGGAGUUUAUGCAUAUGGACAAAUAUUAAAAAGAAUCAAAAGAGACCAAAAAAGGGAAAGAUGAGAAAUCGUUGAUUUUUUUCUUUAUUUGUUUUCUUUUAGACAGUGCUCAAGGGAUAUGCAUUUUUUUUUCUUUUUGCAAAUGAUAACUGGUGAGGGCAAUGAUGAAAAUAUUUAUCAGUUAGGCUAACUCACAUCUUCAUAGUUUCUAUUAAAUUAAAAAUUAGCAUGAUAAUCAACUACACCACCACAUCUAUAUGAUAAGUGCAGUUUUAGUGGCACUUUUGAUUCAUAAGCAGUAGUGAGAAAAUUCAUUGGUAACCUUCACCAAAAAUUGUUCCUUACAUCGUUCAUAGAAUCGAUAUAUGAUGAUCAAGAUGUCAAAAGAAACUGAUAUAAAAGUUGUAUUAAUUCUUAGUUUUGUAUACUUGAGCCAUAAAAUAUUUUAAACAGCUGUUCUUCUGUAAAAAGCUGCAAUUCUUUGUUUUUCUUUUAUCUGAACCAUGAAUAAAAUAUUAUUAUCUACAAAAUCAAGGCUCAAUUUUUGGGUAUUUGAUGUUUGAUACUAGAGUUCUUAAUUUGGCCCAUCUCAUAAACUGAGAUCCACCCUCCCAUACUUUCGUUGUCUUUGGUCUUGAACCUCUAAUACCCUACAGCGAAUGCAUCUCUUCCUGGCAUAUUUGUGAUGCUUAUGCCUAAAAGUUUCCUAAAGCGGGGAAAAUUUGCAGUGCAUGGUGUAUUAGCCGAACUAGUUUAAUUCUAAAUAUGCCAGCACAGAGAAGGGUCUUUACCAUAACAAGUGCCAACACUUCUCUAUCUCCAUAAGCAUGACACCUUUUGUUGGGAGUUGUACUAAAAAUCUUGAUUUGCUCUGUCCAAAUGGCCUUAGUUGUUGACAUACAGAAAAUUCAAAUAAAUGCUCUGAAGAUGACUAUGUUGACUUCGAUUUUUGUAUUUUGAUUUGUUAGCUAUUAUUAAUUAUGCUUCUAGUUCAGAAUACCCGACAUGCAGAUUUGUGUCUGUUAGAUGCAUAUAUAUUUUUUUGUGUAACUAGUUCUCCUAAUUCAGUGACGGGCAUAGAGGUUAUCAUCUUUUAUAUGCAUGUGCUUAUUUUGUUAGCCGUGCAUACAAUUGCACAUAAAUCAUAUCAUAAAGUUUUGUCUGGUGAUUUCAUGUUAUGUCAUUUCACCUAAUGGUUUGUUUUGUCUGGAUUUGCAAAGGAUUUGUGGUGCACAUUUGUAAAAUUGUUUGGAAAAAUGUAUAUGGUUUGAGUUCUAUUAAUACUGUACGUUGUUUAUGAUGCCUUUUACUAGAUAUUUUGAUUAUUCUUUUGUUUCACAUUUUAAAAACUUUGAUAGGACCUAGUAGCUUCAAUAUCCUUGAAGGCCACUCAAAGGCUACAAUGUUUCUGAUAUGCAACAAUGCAGCACAGGGCAUACUUUCGUCCUUCUUUUUCAAAUAUGCUGGUAAAUUGGAAUGUUUGCUAUGUCUUUAAUUUUGUUGCUUACCCAGUGCUAGACACCUUUACUUCUGUGCUGUUUUAGUCUUAAUUAUUCACAUGAAUGAUGCUUGUAGACACAAUCUUGAAGAAGUAUUCAUCUACCGUUGCCACAAUUUUUACUGGCAUAGCAUCUGCUGCAUUAUUUGGUCAUGCAUUGACCAUGAACUUUAUCUUGGGGAUUUCCAUAGUCUUUAUAUCUAUGCACCAGGUAUUUGCUGAACAUAUCUUAAAUUAUUUAAGCCUUUCAUUUCCUCGACAACUCUGACACUUUUUCAAUCAGUUCUUCUCGCCCAUGGCCAAAGUCAAGGAUGAGACACCAGUUGGGAAAUUGGAAGUGAUGGAAGCUCAACAUACCAGGUGCACCCUUUUGUUUAUUUUGAUUCUUUUGGUGAACUAUUUUCUUCUUAACAACAGUACCACUUAAUAGGGAUUUUAUUCACCACUUAUUCUUUUUAGUAAUUUGGUUGUUAUAUAGUUAUGUUUUUGUUAAGAAUGCCCUGUUCAGAAAUGAUCUUUGUGAUGUAAUUUGACCCACUUGCUAAAGGUGAGGGUUUGAAGCUUCAUUUGAUAAAUUUUUUGAAGGUGCUAACUUAGCUUGAUAAAACUUUGAAGAUUAAAAAAAUAAAUCCCAUCCUCAUCACUUAUCAUGUGAAAAAAAAAAACACUACCCAGAAAGUUAUUUUGGACAUUGAAUGUACAUCUUUGGAUGUUACUGUUUUGUGUUUACAAAAUGAUUUAUUCAUUUUAAGUUCAUUUCAGAAUACGGUUGCCUCUGUUUUCAGGUCAAAGGAAACUUCUUUCGUAAACAUGGCUGCUGGUGCUGCUGAAGAUGUAAACAAUUGUCUAUACAAUAAGUUGUUAGUUACUGAAUUAAUAUAUUCUUACACAUCACAGUUGCUUUCUUUCAGGUCAGCCACCGCACUGGUCAUGAUGAGAGACAACCGCUUUUGCCCAUUUGAUGGUAUGUCCAAGGCUUCACUCUGACUCUUGCAAACAUUUUAAUUUAGUGCUUUAUCUAACCACUGAGAUGCUUUCUAUCGAAUCUCUUACAUUUCUGUUAGUCUCUUAGAGAUUUUUACUCAUUCUUCCAGGAUCCAAUUUUUUUAUUAAAUUGAUCUUUUCAGGAAAUCUGGUCUUUUGGUAUUUAGGCAUGUUUUUAUGCAUGGCCAGUAUGUGCAGCCAUGUAAUAGCUACUUCUGGAAGUCUUUGGGGAUAUAUGUUGGUGGGUAGGAGCCGAGACUUGUUAUAGGCGUUUAGUAUGUGUGUUAUAUAAUACUUGAAUGGAACAAGCAAAAUAUAUCUGCUUCUGGAUAGAUAAUGUUCUAGUGAACCACAUGGUCAUCGGCACACUUACGUUCUAUUCCUCUUUUCACAUCCCUGUGAGGUGUUACUGAUUACUGUUGCUAUGCUCACAGCAACUUGCAUUUAUAUUUUGCAACCAUCAUCAAGUUGAUACCUACAUGAAACUAUGAACCAAUCAAAGUUGCAGCAUCCUUACUUUGCAAUGGAUCUCUGCUACAGGUAUACUAUGGAGUGAUCCUUUUUAUUGACCUACGGAUGAGCCACCAGCUAGUUAUAAUAAUUCUCAGCAAAGCAUAAACAAGAUAGAGAAUAGUUCUUCUCUUUUUGGUCUGUAUCGGGCAAGCUUGUUUCUUGUGGUCUUCUUAUAGGCAAGAUGAUGAACAAAUGAAGCAAGAGCAGCUUGAGCAUUCAGAGGAUGAUGAGAUGAAGAAAAUUGAACAGGUGAAAUCCCAACAUCAGCUUGUCGGUGUAAGAUCCAAGAAAUAGACUUCCCUAGCAACCAAUUUACAUAAAUUUUGUCUCUCAUCUUGUGGUAUUAUAUCACUAGGAAUAUAUAUAUAUAUAUAUAUAUAUAUAUAUAUAUAUAUAUAUAUAUAUAUAUAUAUUCUCAGCUCUUUUGUGUAAAAUUUGGAUGCAUGUUUCCCUAUUCUUUUAAUCGAUUUGUUAUUCCUUUUUGUAUGGAUACCUAUGUUUUCUGCUAUUGUUCACAUUUAUUUUAUUUUCUUAUGGCAUUGGUGGACCGGCAAAAUCUUCAAUGUGAUUGAAAAGCUAGAGCCACUAUGAAUGACAAGUUUGUGUUUGUUGCUCAAUGAGAAGUUUGGUUCUAUAGAAUUAUCACACAUGAAUUCUGCCUUUGUUGUUGUUCACAACCAAGUUUCAUACUCUUGGUAAAGGUUGACUGAGAUAAAUAAAUGAACUAUUGGGGAAAUAAAUAACUGUGCUAUGCAUAAACAUGUUAUGCACAUUAUGUUUAUCCUAAUUUCUCAUGUAAGGAUAGAAAUAGAAAUAAAAAUAAAAUUAAGUAUGAUUUUUGCUAUAUUAUGCUCAAUAUGCUGGAAAAUGCCAAAUUCUUAACCCUAAGCAUGAGUUUGCAUAAUGUAAGCAUCACAUUAUUAAUAAAACGAGUCAUUGUUUAGUGAUUUAAUUAAUCAUGCCAUUUAAUUAUCGUGUAAAAUACCUGUAAUCAUGCCAUUUGGUAUAAAUUUAACGAUAUCAAUCAUGUGUUACACAAGUGGUUUUCGGAUCUUUUAUUUUAAAAAAUUUGGAUCUUUUAUUUUAAAAAAUUCGGAUCUUUUAUUUUAAAAAAUAUAGUAUAUAAGCCAUUCUCAUCGAGUCUGAGUUAACAAACGUUAGAAUUUAUUUAUGUGACAUGUUCACUGAUAAUAAACUAUUAAUAUAAUGAUAUGUAUAAUUUAAGUUUUUUUAAAAAACUUGUUAUACGCAUACGACGUCAUACGCAUCUAGCCUCUCUCGCGUUGACGACGAGCUUAGGAGCUUUUGAAUGUUACUCGCCAGCUCCAAGGUGUAUGCCACCAUGUCACAUACUAUGACGCUUGUUAGGAAAAGAGUCGACACUAAGAGGGGGGGUGAAUUAUUGCAGCGGUAAAAACGUCGGUUCUGAAAAUUCUUUCGUAUGAUAAAAAUCGAUUUUGGAAACUUAACUUGAAACACGUGUUCGUAAAUGUAUUGAAGGCGGUAAGCAAGUAAAAUGGUUUAUAGUAAAGUAAAUGGCAACAAUAGAAAUACAAACCAGAGAACACGCCAAUUUUAUAGUGGUUCGGUCAUCGUGACCUACAUCCACUCCGUCGAUUCCUCUUCCGUCAAGGCCACCGGCAUCCACUAUCGGUCUUCUUUCAAUAGGUGAAGACCAACCACUUUUUACACCCCUCUUUUUUUUUUCACAUGUUUAGGAGACAACCUUUACAAGCACACACACUCCUCUCUAAAUAGAAUUCUAAGUUUAAGUUAGAGGAGGGAUUUCUCAAGUGAUUUCUGCGACGUUUUCUCAAUUUAAAACUCUCAUCGCUUCUCUAGUUUAACUAGAGAUGAAAUGAGUAUUUAUAGGCUUCAAGUUGAUUCAAACUUGGAGCCUAAAAACAUCUCAUCCCGGGUCUCCUAGGUACAGGCGGUACCACCGCUAGUGUUAAUCUGACACUAACACUGCGCUGGGUGGUACCACCGCCUCUGCUAUGACGGUGCCACUUCUUGGGUCACUGUUUGAGCCUUUCAUUGGGCCCAACACAAUCCUUACAUGGGCCAAAUUGGCCCCUAAUUGGGUUGGCCCAAAUCCAAUCCAAAUUAUGUGCUAACUACCAAAUCUAAGACAUUUACUAAGCUAAACAAGUCCUAUGAGUCAAGUUUUCUUCUGACGAUCUCUCGGCAAUGUUCCAGCGGACUCCCGACAAGCUCCUAGACUUCACGACGAUCUAUUUGGCGAGUUCCGACGAGCUUCUCUGGCAAGCUCCGAGACUUCUCGGCUGGUUUCUGUAGAACUUAUGACGAACAUCCGGACUUCCGACGAACUCUCGAACUCCUAACGAAAUCACGUUCUUGACUCCGGGACUCCAUUUUGCUUUAUGCCUUGCUAUCGUAGUUAAUCCUGCACAUGUACAAAACACACUUCGAUCUAGACAAUUAAUACUAAGCAUGAAUCAUUUUGUUCGGCAUGUCAUUGGUCCAUCGAUGCUUCGUCCGAUUCGUCGGCGCAUCGUCCUCUCUUGUGGCCUAUUGCCCAAUCGGCCAGUUGACUCCGCAACUCCAAUAUCCUUGGCGCAAUAUCCGCUCUUCUUAGCCCAAUAUUCGAAUCCAUAGCCCGAAGCCUUCUAUCGAUACGUCGAUUGAUCCUCCGGCUCGACGUCCAAUCUUCUGACAUGUUCCAUCAGCCCAACAUGAUUCUUCCUGCUUUAAUUAUCUCAUCCUGAUCGAAGCAUCCCGCGUCACUAAAAACGUAGAUCAAAUCAUAAAUACUUAUCAAUUGGUUUCAUCAUCAAAAUACGAGAUUCAACAGUGCUGCUUGCCACCAUGAACAGUACCCACUCUGAUCCCAACGAGUACCAUCAUACAUUGUAAGCCACCUCCCCCGUGAAACACGACAUCGCAAAGACGAAAAGCAAAUGAAAUGAGUGGUUGAGCAGGUCCAUGUAGCACUCCCACACCUUCUUGCUCUCCUUAAUCAGCUUGUCGAGGAAAAGGAAGCAGCGGAGGCCGUAACGCUAGACGAAGGCAGAGAGGCAAAGGUAGGAGAGGUUGGAGGCGAAUGUAAGGGAGAGUUGAACCACCACGUCAUAAGCAUGGAGGGUGAGGGCGCGAGAGAGGACAAAGUGGGAGGCAAUGGGGACAAAGACGCCCAAGAGGAGGAAGAGGAACUAGGAGACUACUGCGUGCCUAGUGUUGGACUGAUCGACGCACAUCCACCUGAGGCAAGACGGGAAGCUCCAAAGCUCGUCGUGCGUAUAACGCCUUGCUAAGCAGUAGUGGCUUGGUGCUGCUGAUGGUGGUCGCUUCUACGACGACGUCUCUUCCCACCGUUGAUGGAGGUAUAAGUUUUUCUCUUACAACUUAAAUUACAUGUGUCAUUAUAUUAAUGGUUUAUCGUGAGUCAACAUGCCACGUAAGCAUACUCUAACGUCUGUUGAUUCAAACUUGAUGAGAAGAGCUUAUAUGCUACGUUUUUGAAAAUGUAAAAGUUAUUUUAGACAUGAGUAGACCAUAAGGGCCUAAGAGGUUCAUGACUAAAACCAUAAGGGCUAAAAUAAAUAUUAACCUUAAAUUAUAUGUGUUAUUAUAUUAAUAAUUUAUUAUGAGUCAGCAUGCCACGUAAGUAAACUCUAACAUCUAUUAACUCAGACUUGAUAAGAGGGAUUUAUAUGUUAUAUUUUCUAAAAUAUAGAGAUUAUUUUAAACAUGAGUAAAUGAUAAGGGUUUAAGAGGCUUAUGAUGAAAACCAUAUAUUUAAAAUGAACCUUAACUCAAUUAAAAUUCAUAAAAGAAAUAACAAAUUAUAUCAAUUGAAUAUAUAUAUAUAUAUAUAUAUAUAUAUAUAUAUAUAUAUAUAUAUAUAUAUAUAUAUAUAUAUAUAUAUAUAUAUAUAAUCUUAAAAGAUAUAGUAAAAUAAAGGUGUGGAUCUGGAUCCAAAAUCCUAACCAUACUUCCACACUAGCCAUGUGACCUUGGAUGAUGACUAGAUUUUAAUUGCAUUAUUCGGUCAAUUAGUCCGCCACGUAGAAAAGUCGUCCAACUUUUACAAUUAUAUUAAUAUAAAAUUGUACAAAAAAUUUACGCUAAUCAUAUAUAUUUUUUAAAAAGAAAUAUCUGACUCUUUUUGUAACUCCGCACACGACAUCUUCUAGGAAACAAGAAAUCACUCUUUUUUACACAUGCACACAAUGUCUUAAUCAUCAGCGUAUUUCUUAGGAGACAAAUAGUCAUCUCAAACUUGCACAAGUUGUAAGCGUUUACUAUGUAGGAUUCAAAUCCUAGGAGAAAUAAACACUCUCAACAUAAGAAAGGGUAAAAGAAGGAACAACAGUCUUAGAACACAAGCAAAGUUUUUGUCUUCAGAUUUGGGGCACUGGUAAUCUUGGACAAAUUAAACUAGGAACUUGGAAUGGAAGCUGUCCAUUUGGGCCAUGACAGCCACUUGCCAGGUUAAACCUUUUUCACUGCCAUCUUUCAAGAACUAGCAUCUGCUAAUAUUAUUAUAAAUCAAUGGCAUUUGACUUCUUGGGGGCACAUAUUUCUGGUUCUCCUUCAAUUUUAUGACACUGGAGAUUGAAACAGGAAAGGAUGCAUUAAAGGCCAAGUUGUGACUUCUGGUGCUCAGCCUUUGACUUUGUAAAAUUGAACAGUACCUUAGAAUAAACUAGCAAAAGAAAUGCAAUAGAAGGUCUCCUAACCCUGGUUUCCCCAUAUCAAUCCUUUGGAAGAGUGGACAUAACAUAUUUUCCCCUUCAAAUUGUAAUUAUAUAUAUAUAUGUGUGUAUAUAUUAUAUCUCCAAGUACACUAAUAUUUUAUAUAUAUCAAUCAUGUCAGCAUCUGUCUUGCAAACUCAACUUAGCAACUAUUGAUCAUGGUUAUCAUCAAAUUUAAAUAAUAGCAACUAUUCUUUAUUACUUCAACAAUUAUUUGAUUUAUCAUGUUUCUCAACAUUUCUGAAAGGAUAUUAAUGUUAAAUUAAGUUUCAACAUCAUUAUACUAAUGGUCAACUCAUAAAUAUUAAAUUAAUGGAAUCAAUAUAAAAGUCACUGACUUUUAUUUUAGCAAUGCUAGUGGGUUCCCUUUGAAAAGAACCCAUUGUUGUUUAAGAUCAGUGUUGACAAGUGAAGCAUACCGUGUGCACUAUCCAGGACAUGAUGACCUACAACAGAAGAACUUCUAUAUCCUUUUGUCAUCUAGCAUUGUCUAGCUCAUUUAAUCCCAUUGAAGGAGGACUCUCAAAUGAUGCUUUUGCUUCAAGGGUGGUGUGUACUUCCACAGCAUAUCAAAAUAUUUUGUCUGCCACAUUUUAGAAUGGUCUCCUUACGCAACCAAACCAUCUCCUUUCUUGAGGAAAUGAUGUCCUCCACUUUAGUCAUUCACUCUACAGCAUAAUUUCCUGCACCACUCAUGGGGAAGGACAAAAGAUGGAGUGGGGAUGAGAUCCUGUGGUGAGACAAAGAUGGGUGUUUCUACUUGAUCUUUGCUUAGGUUUGGGGAGCUUUGGGGCACAAGCAAACAUGAGUGCAGCUCCUUGGGAGCUUCUUGUACCUCAUUUGCACUUUAGCCUCCAAGAUUGAUUGCACCAUGAACACCUUAGAGAAGGGACACCUUGAUGAAGGACCUUUGAAUUUUUCAUGAUAAUUUUUUUUUUUGAUUGGAUAUCCAGUUAUUCUAAAAGCUUUAGUUGUUCCUAAAUUAUCAUAUAUAUAUAUAUAUAUAUAUUACAUUUUAUAUGUCAUUUAAGUAUGUGCAUGAGAUUUUCGUCAAUGCAAUUUUAGAGAGGGUCAAAUGCUUAAUUUAAGCUAAAUUUAUAAAAAGGUUAUUUCUGUGAUACAAAUCUUGAUCACCUAAAUAUAUCAUUUAAGCUAGUUAAAAAAUAUUAUAUAAUAUUUAAUCAAAUGUUGGAUGAUAUAUAGAGAGAUGGAUAGAGACAUUGUUCUAAUUCAUAACCUCUUCUAAUAUCAUGAUAAUUAUUUUGAAUUAAAUUUCCAAAAUCUUCAAGAGUUUAAAUUGUCAGAAAAUGAUCAUGAUAUUAAAAUAUUUGACAAUAAAAGAUUUCAAUGGGGUAUCCAGAAAUUCUUAAAGCAUAAGUGGUUAGCAAAGAAUAUAGUAUUACAUUAAAUUAUAUCACCUCUCAGUUGUCAAAAAAGUAUAUAGUUUAAGUCAAUUAGGAAACAAAAUGCAGAUAUUAACUAAAUAUUAAAUGAUAUAUGGAGGGACAAAUGCAUGGUUCUGAUUCACAACCUGUUUUGAUUUGAAUAAUCAAAGAUUUGAAGAGUUUAAACUAUCAGAAAAUGAUACGUCAAUUGGAGUUACAUUUAAAACAAAUCUCCAAUAUAUAUUAGAUUCUAACACUUGAUGAUGAGUUUGUACCCACUAGGGAGGUUGAUGGAUCAUGGUGACAGUCUCCAUAUCCAUCUGGAAUAGGACAAGUCGAGUCCCCACUGGUGUAGGCAUUACAAGUAUCACCACCUAAUUUUGAUUCGGGGAUCACUUGAAGUCCACUUGUAGUGGCUUCACCACUUCCUUGUUGGAGCUGCAACACUAAACCUAAGAAAGGAUUGGUCGAUGCAUGCCCUAAUAAUGAUGGAGGACAGAGAUACGGCAAUGGACUCGUGCUAUGUCUAGGUUAGGUCAUGAGCUGUGCCUCCCCUAAUAAUGGCGUCCUUGCAUGGACUACUAAGCUAAAAGCUUAAUGUUAAGAUCUAGGAUUACAACGAUGCAACUUAGCUAAGGAUUCAUUGACUUUUCUCAUCAGCUUGUAGUCCAUACUUAAUGGAUGUCAGCUUCUUGGAAGAUACCAUACAAGCCAGGCACAUGGUACUUGCAGAUAUGAGAACCCCAGUGAUUCAUAUAAUUUAGCCUAUCUUAUCAAUCGAUAAGAUAGAUUAAAUUAUAAUAAAAUUAGAAAAUUGAAAGAAAUAAAAAUCAGGAGUCAUAUAAAUACCUACAAAGAAAUUGACCCACUUUGAUCCAAUGAUGAUGUAAGCACAAUGAGACACUAAUUAUACAAUGACCCACGUGGAUCUAGAAUCAUCUAGAUCCUUUAAUUAUUGGUCAGUUUGAUUCCCCCAUCAAUCUCAAAUCCAUUGGGAAAAAUACUUUUCUAAGAAAUUUAAUAUGAUACAAUUUUUCCCAACUAAAUGAACCCUUUCUGAUUUGCAAUACAAAAUAGUUGUAUCAUCUAUAUUUAAUCAAUCAUAUAACUUAAACAUAGAACGACGGAUUACUAGUUUUUUCAUGAUUUUGAUGUUUUGGGAAAGUCAUUUUGGAUAAUCCAUCUUGGGCAAAGUUAGGCUAACCACAAUGAUAUAUCUUACAGUCCAUCUUGGUAAGUUAGGUUGGCCAUAACGAUCGAUAUAUGUUGUUGAGAAAAUGGAUCAGGUUGGAUCUGACUUCACAAGUUAGGCUAACGACCAAAAUUGACCUAAUUAAGAAUAUACAUUUUUUUUGAAGUGAUGAGACUAUUCAAUUAGUCUCUGCCCAACCAGAACUCUACAGGUUCUAACCUAUGUCAUAGGGUAACUGGAGAUUUGGAUCCAGUAAGUUUGGACGCUGCAAGCAUCUUUCAACAGAGGACAAUUCAACACUUGCAAUAGAGUUAAACUAUGGUGUAAUGCAGCUAAUAUAACUCAUGUAAUCUAUGAGUGAUGGCUUUUAAUUCUUGAUCACAAAUCUUGAGACAGUGAGCUGAAACAAUCUAUUAUUAACUACACCCAAUCAGCUAGUUUUCUUCUGUUUAUAGGGUCGAGAGUUUGAACCAUCCCUACACUUCCUUUUGUCUUCGGCAAUAAAAUUAUUUUUUUCUAAAAAUAAAUAAAUAAAAAUUACUCUAUAUAAGUUCAGUACUUGAGAUGUCCAUGGAUGUAAAGGCGAGCACAAACAAACGGAUGAUCAAGCUGCUUGAUGUGUUUUUGAUCUACCAUGACAGGCUUUACACAUACUUCUCCCACCCCCAUUUUGGACACAUUAUUAUUUGCAUGAUAUGUGGGAUUGGAGCAGACCAUUUACUUUUUUUUGUGUGCUUUAGUUUUUGAUCCAUUGAUGAUGAGGCACACUCAUGGAUUGACAGUGAGUUUUUUCCCUUCUUUGUUAUGGUUUUAAUUAUGUGAUAAUAUUUUAUGAGAUAGAGAUAGAAAGUUCCUUCUUAAAAAAUAUAUAGUAUAGCUAAUAUACAAAUUUCUUUCGAAAUAUUAUAGCUAGGAACAUGGUCACACAUGUUAUCCCAACUAAUAUGGCAAUAGUCAAUGAUCCUAGGAGGCACUUCAGCUAGCAUCAACAUAUAUGUGCAUCAAUCAAGCCUGUGAUUAAGGUUGCAGGUCCAGUUGUAGAUUUGACCCAACCCUAGUCACCUACGAGUCAACAAUCAUAUUUGGACAUUUAGAUUCUACAGCUUCCAGUGAAUACAUUUGAUAUGGACUAAUUACCUAAAAAGACAAGUAAUUCAUUUGCAACACAUGUUUAAUUCUUUCCAAGAAAAUGAUUUCUCGUUCUAUCAAUAAGAAAAAUCAUUAACUAUCGAUAAGUUAAAUCUUUAUCAACUAAGCUAUAUGAUAUCUUUAAAAAAACAUUUUUCUGUCAAUAUUAUGGACCAUCACUGAAUUUACUUUUCUUGAUGACUGUUGCUUGGAAGCAAUGGAUGGAGUGAAUUGAGAGCUAAUCUUUCACAAUGGGUUGAGUCAGAUAAAUAUGACAUACCAUCUUCUAUCGAACUUGUGGCCUGACUGAGUUGAAAGCUAUUGGAACAAGCGGGAGAAGAAGGUGGUGGUUCUGAUGUGGUACAGGGAAGCGACAAGUCAUUUUCCCCAGGAGUACUUCCACUCCUGUGACUAUGAGCUAUUAUCCAUCUAUUAAAGCUCCUUCUCACAAUGUUUGAUAUGAGAGCAGAUCCUUUCUGCCUUUGGACUUUUAAUGUCUCGGGCUUUGAGAAAAAAAAAGAUAAAAAAAGGAAAAGGGAAGCACGUUUAAAGAUGAUCUGCUCUCAUUUAUAUUUCUAAUCUAUCUGCAUUCAUAGUUCCAACUGUACAAGAUGGUGCAGCAUGAGACACCCCAUUGAUUUGGUCAUUGUAUAUUUAUAUCUGGUUUCUGUUUACUUAUGAAAUAGGCAAUCAUGUUAAUAGCACUGGUCUUUUAACUUGAUUGAUUUGCCUAAAAUGUUUGACACUCUAAGCAACAAUUAAUUUAACCUCAUAUGAUGCCCAAGUGCCUGAAAAAGCUACAAAUGAACGUAUGUGCAAACUGUAAGCUCUAGUGAGGCACAUAAACUUGGGAUUACAAUAAUUUUAAUGGCCCUUAGAAUGCUUUGUAAGUUCUAAAUGGUCAUCUCCUAUUGACAGUUUAAUAGACAAAAAUUCAAUUCACUUGUAGUUUCAUUUUUUGUGGCAUAUGAAAGUUUUUAUGUACAUGUGUAGUCUACUCCCCAAAAUUUUGAAAUGAGACUCAUGUCCUGAUGAUUAUAUUCCUUGGCAAAGAUAAUUCUGAAAAGUUUAGGCUUUCUGAGAACAGCUUUUGAAUUUGAGUUUUAAAGAGACAGAAGGUUCAUUUCAAAAUUAUAACUUUUGCACAGACAUUGAUGAGAUUACUGCUAAUAUUGUUUGUACUUUGCUUAAACAAGACAAUUGUUUAGUGGAUUAGCGGGAUGAGAUUUGUGACGGAGAAUCCUAAAUAAAUUCCAUGUUGAUUGCCAAAAAGAUGGGUGCACUUUUUCUUUUUCAGGGUCUUCACAUUUCUGCUAUUAUUAAGUCAACUUAAUAAUAACAUCAAUCAUAGACGUCUAAUUUUAACUAAGUCCUAUGAUGCACUCACAUUCUCUACAUGUAAAUAUUUGAAACAUAAACUCAGGAUCAUACAAGAAUGACUCAAUAAAAUAACUUGAUAAUAAAGUAAAGUUGGAUAAUUUCAUCACCUUUCAACGAUCCUACUAUUUAAUCUAAGGUUAAAUCAUUGUAUGUUUCGCAUGCUUAUAUGGUGUGGGUUUCUAUCUAUGCAUGAAAACUUUGUGGUAAUUUUAUUUAAUAUAUUCAAAUUUUGGGUUGUGUUGCUUUGCUUUUCUUUUUUGCUUACUUUUAACUCUCGGCUGAGCUUAUAACAGCGUCAGCCGAGCCAAAACUGGAGCCGUCCCGACCCGAGUCAGCUCCAAUGACACACCCUAACUCCGAAUUCUACCUACCCUGGUGGGACCCACCGGUCACCUCCACUUGCCGGUAAAGAAAUUAAAACCUGGUCUCCUUUUUGUUUCCGCCUUUAACCUUAACCGCGGUCUAAGUAACUCCGCUCACCACCCCUCCCUUCCUGUUCUUUAUAUUAGCCCACAACGCCUCCUCUUUCCUCUGGCGCUCGCUGCUUUCAAGUUUCCCGAUACCCACACGGAAGCCCAUCAACGAGAGAAGAAAUAGGGGAAAUCGAUGCCGGAAACAGCAGCGAGGGGAGGCGUUUGAGCACAUACCUUGUCCGUGGCUCCGAUCGGCGGAGGAGAUGACGGUGUUCGCCCACUCGAUGGGCCGUGGCAGCGAAGGAGCGGCAGGAGGAGUCGCGGUGACGAUGAAGGGCGCGGCGGGGCGGCUGCAGGUGCACCCGCUGCCGGACUACGGCGCGGAGGCGUCGCAGCGGCUGGUGGAGGUGGCCCAGCGCGGGGACGCGAGGGAGGUGGCGGAGUCCCUCGCGGACCCGGCGGUGGAUGUGAACUUCGCCGGAGCGGUGUGCCUGCGGGCGCGCCGGGCCACGGUGUCCCUUCGGGAGGAGGCCGCCGACGAGGUCCUGGUGGAGUACGAGGAGAUCCGCACUGACGCGUCCGCCCUCUUCCUCGCGGCCCACGCCGGUGAUCUCCUCGUCGUUCGCAAGCUCCUGGUUCGAUCUCCUCGCUCAUCCCUCUCUUCUCUACUUUGAAUUCUUCUGCUUCGACCUUUUGGCCCUUUGAUUGACCUCCAGAUUAAUAUAAACAUUCUUUACUAUUUAUUAUUCAUUAUUUUCUUUAUGUCUUAUUUUUUAUUUACUUAAUUUUUCUUGUUUUCGAAAAUUAUUAUACUGAUUUCUGCAUUUAUUAUCACAAUUAUUUUCCUACAAUAAACUCGAGUUGUCAAAAGAAAUGGGUGCACUUUGGUUCGGGUUCGUGACCCGCAAAGCUGUACCCGAUCCAUUAUUAUAUACGUUCUCGCACAAUUCCAUUUCUCUUUGGAUUAUUUCACUAUCCGUUUGCUUUUCUUGAUAAGUAGCUAUAGCUUCCAGAAUGUGUUAUCGGAUUCGGGUCGAAAUUUCUCCCAUUGAGGGCCAUUGACUUGCCUCAUAGUUUCGAAAAUUAAAGAAAGUUCUUUGUCCAACACAUGCCCCUUGGACGAUCGCAAAAUCCCAACCGUCCGAUCGGAGAAAGGGUGUCGUCCCGUGAUUCGCGUCAUCUGCCGGCCCCGGCCAGGAAUGGAAUCACACCACUUAGCUGGCAUAACUGUUCACCACACACACUCUCUCUCUCUCUUCAGUGCUUGCACGGAUAUGAUGCGACCAACUCCGUACCCCUUCCUCGGAUCAAUUUCCCCUUCGAUUUGAUCCCAAAUUGCUGAGAAUUAAUGGAAUUGUGAUUAGGGGCCUCUUUAAUUCCCGCGAGGAGCGCAAGGUCACGUGUGUUAUCGACAAGCAAUUCAAUGCGCCCCAUCUCGUCACACGCGCGGGAAGGAGUUUUAGUACACGAGCACCCUUUAUGGCAGUCCGAAUUGUCGAUCUGUUCUCAGCACAGCGCAGCUUAGCGCGUACGGCGCCGUAUCGCGCGCGACUUCGCAUCUCUACCGUCCGAUUGAUCCUCCAUCCUUGAUCUCUCGUCAUCAAGAGUGAUAAGUGCAAUUAAUGAACAAAAAAGACGUGCUUUUUGUUUCUUUCUGGGUGAUUUACUGAUUAAUUUAGUUGCAUUAAGAUGAUUAGAGCUUAAGAAUUCGUUAUAGUUAGCUAAUUUUGAUGAUUUUGGUGGAUUGUGGGUGAAGGAGAAAGGCGCCGACGUGAACCAGAAACUGUUCCGGGGACACGCGAUAACGGCGGCGGUGAGGGAGGGGCAGACAGAGGUGGUGGAGGCGUUGCUGAAGGCCGGAGCAUCGCAGCCCGCCUGCGAGGAGGCUGUGGUGGAGGCCAGCUUGCACGGGAGGGCGAGCCUCGCGGAGUUUCUCAUCGGCACCGAUCUCGUGCGUCCCCGCGUCGCCGUCCAUGCGCUCGUCUUGGCCGCCUCCAGGGGAUUCCUCGACGUCGUCGACACCCUCAUCAAGGUAAUUCUCGGUGAUGAUUUAGUAGCACGUCGAGUUCAUUUCGGUCUUUCCAUGAUAACCAUAGUAAUGUUUAUGAGUUCCAUUGCCCUAACCGAGGGCAAGGUGUUUUUGGGGAUUCCAUUUGUGUGUCGUCUCACAGCCAGCUUUCGAUUGUACCCUUGAGAAGGUUUAGACUUUAGAUGUGAAGAAACCAUUAAUUAGGUGGAUUAAGCAAGAAAAAUUGGAUUUUUGACUGUCUCGGCUUUAGUAUUUUUUGCUUGAUUAAAAGAUUCUUUUCGUUGGAUUAGCAAAAGAGGUCAGAUCUUUGUCAAUUCUGUUGUGUUCAGCAAAGGAAUUGUUCCAAUCCACCAGUGAUGCGUGGUUUGAUCUCAAUGCUCAAUUCAUAUGCAGUGCGGAGCGGAUCCGAACGCGACAUCUCGUGUGCUGCUGCGCUCGCUGAAACCAUCCCUCCACACCAAUGUCGACGGCACCGCACUAAUCGCCGCCAUCGUCAGCCGUCAGACCGCCGUCGUCCGGCGCUUGUUGCAGGUACUUCUGACACUCCACCACUCAUGCGACGUAUUCGUUGAUCAAUAGAUCUCUGAUGAUGUACGGGUGCCCGCUCAAGGCCGGAGUGCGGAAGGACGCCAAGGUGAGACUAGGUGCAUGGUCAUGGGACACCACCACCGGCGAGGAGUUCCGUGUCGGCGCCGGUCUCGCCGAGCCCUACACCGCCGCUUGGUGCGCGGUCGAGUACUUCGAGUCCGCGGGCACCAUCCUCCGGAUGCUCCUGCAGCAUCACUCUCUCAACGCUCCGCAUUGUGGCCGCACGCUCCUCCACCACGCCAUCCUCUGUGCCAAUCCUCGAGCCGUCGACACCCUCUUGGCCUGCGGUGCCGAUUGCGAGCUCCCGGUCAAGACCAGCCGGAAGACCGAGUUCCGGCCGAUCCACAUGACUGUCCGACUCGGCCUGGCUUCCAUCCUGCAAAUCUUGAUCGAUAAGGGGUGCGACCUGAACUCGAGAACCGACACCGGAGAGACGGCGUUGAUGCUAUGUGCGCGCUACAACCGCGAUGACUGCCUGAGGAUUCUUGUGACGGCCGGCGCUGAUCUUGGCCUGGUGAGUGUGGCUGGGGUGUCUGCCACCAAGGCCGCCGCUUGCAGCCAUUGGAGCAUCAGUUUUCAGCGUGUAGUCGUCGACCUGAUUCGGGCAGGAACGGUUCCUCGAUCGAGCAAUCCGUCCGUCUUCUCCCCGAUCAUGUUCGCGGCCCUAUGUGGCGACGUCGGAUCCUUGGAGGUGCUAUUGACGCGACCAGAUAUUGACAUCGACGGACAAGACGAGGAGGGGUACUCCCCGCUCAUGGCGGCAGCCAAAGAGGGCCACGUCAACGUGUUCCGCGUCCUGGUCUUCGCCGGCGCCAACGCGAAGCUCUGCAACAAAGCGGGAGAGACCGCAAUCGACCUUUCCCGGUCGAAGGAGAACCGGGAUCUCUUCGAGCAGGUGAUGCUUGAAUUCACUCUCGAGAGAGGGAGUGCCGGGGGGUUCUACGCUCUGCACUUUGCGGCUCGGCGAGGAGACAUGGCCGCCGCGCGCCUCUUGACCAAGAGAGGGUGCGACGUGAACGCCGUCGAUGGAGAUGGGUACACUCCACUGAUGCUGGCAGCGAGAGAAGGCCACGCGGAAGUAUGCCAGCUCUUGAUCCACGGCGGAGCCAAGUGUGAUGCCAAGACGCAUAGAGGCGAGACGGCGCUUUCGCUGGCGAGAUCGAACGCGAAGCUCGGAAAGGAUGCGGAGAACGUGAUAUUGGACGAGCUAGCCAUGGCGCUGGUUCUGCGAGGCGGCCAUGUCAAGAAGCACACCAAGUGCGGGAGAGGGUCGCCGCACGGGAAGGUGUUGAGGAUGGCGGCGGAGGCGGGGGUGCUGCAGUGGGGCAAGGCGAGCCGCCGGAACGUGGUGUGCAGGGAGGCAGAGGUGGGCGGGAGCUCAGCGUUCCAGAGGAACAGGAAAGGGAAGGGCGAUAGACGCGAGGCGGGGCUGUUCCGGGUGGUGACCGCCGGGAAGAGGGAGGUGCAUUUCGUGUGUGGAGGAGGGGAGGAGGCGGCGCAGCUUUGGGUGCGAGGGAUCAGGCUUGUGACGAGGGCAGCAUCGGGCAACGGAUCGUCUAACAGCACUGCGGCCUUGUAACUCGUUGCGAGUACUGAGUCAACCGAGAAGGGUGUUUUGGCAGGGACGAAAUAGGAACGGUGUGUCCAUAGUGAAGCCAAGACUUCAUCUUGAAGUCAGGGCUUCUCUUCUCUCUUUUUGGCCCUCUCCUUGAAAGGCCUAUGUGAAGUUUGCUUAGAUCAAAUGUUAGAUAUGUUUCUGAUGUCUGGAAUUUGAUUGUGUUCAACUUCAUAAUUCUCAUAAAUUAUACUACGUGGAAUGCAAGGCAUAAAACUGAAUAGAUAAACUCAUAACAUUUACACAAUACUCCUAUUACAUUAUGAGUCAGCAACACAGCAUUUAAAUAAUUAGUAGCGGAAAAAUUAGUGGGUCUUUGUUAUCAUCAAAAUUUGUCAUCGAUCCACCUUACAUGGUUGAGUCAAUUAGGUCCAUUUCCAAAAGGACGUUGUGUCUCUUCUGAAGUCCCUUACUCAUAAAAUUAACAUCACAUAAGCUAUCGACAUGACCAUUUUAACAAUACAAUUAGUAGAUCUUAUGUGAGAGUGCGAAGUGAGAUUUUUCGGUCCUGAAUGAUACAUUGAAGACUUUUAUUUAUAGAGUGGUAAGAUCAUAAAAUAAGAAAUAUUUUUAGAUAAAUCUACUCCGAUUUUUUCCCCGUCCCCCCUAAAUACACCCUCGAACUUGAGAAGAGCAUGCGUGCACUAAAAAGAAAAGCAGGAGUCGACUUAACAUUCUAGGUGGCUCACAUCCGGUCCCAGAUAAAUCGAUCCGACGGCUGACAUCAUUCCGUGGCUACCACGGUUUUCUUCCCCGUUCUUUGAUAAAUUCACUCCACUUUCAUCAGCUCAUCCCUGAUGAGACGCGCGGGCUUGAGAAGAACAUGCGUGCAAUAAUGAAAAACAUGGAGUCAACUUAACAAUCGACGUGGCGCAUUAACCAUCCACGGUUGACAUCAUUCCGUGGGUAUCACGCUUUCUGCCGGAUUCUUUGAUAAAUUUACUCUACUUAGAGGUCACAAGAUCCUGAUCAUACCCCGCGGUCUCAGAAGAACAUGCGUGCGCUAAAGGAAAAAUAGGAGUCGGCUUAACAAUCAACGUUGGGCUUCAGAGCAUCCACGGUUGAUCCCAGUAAAUCGAUCCGACGGCUGAUAUCAUUCCGUGGCUACCACGCUUCACCAUCCACCCCAGAUUAAGCUGCGAGGUCAAUCCGACGGCUGAGAUCUCCCCGUCGCCACCGGCUCGUGUCGGGAGAAGAUAAUGGGCGGAGUCAUCCACGGAUUCCCAGGCUUGGCACGUGUCGGUCUCCUAUCUGCGAUUAAAAUUGCACAUGAGCUCCUUACAAAAUUUUAUUUUCUAAUCACACCUGUAUCAUAUCAACGCGAACUUUAAAGCGUUCGUUUUGGUUUGUACAGGGGGUAUUAUGAAAAUAUUCAAGUCUUUCGGGAGUCAUGUAGAAUUCGAUGAUCGCUCGGGGCUAAAAAUAAAAUAUAGGUUUUAGGAAGGGAUAUAUAGGUAAAAUCAUUAAGUUUUAAUCGGGGCAAGUUUCCCUUAUUCUUUCUCUUCUUCCUACGCUUUGUCCGCUCACCUCUUCGCCGUAGAAGGGGGAGAAAAAGAGGUUUUGUUCGCUCACCUCGGCCGCAGAAGGGGGAGAAAUUGAGGAUUUGGGCUCUUCUUCUCCGCUCUAUCCGGAACCCUAGGUUUCUACCUCUCUACCUCCUUCCUCCUCUCCCUUUACCAAUUCGUCUUCCCUGUGAUUUCGUUGCUUGAAUUUGUGGCCGACUUAUUCUUCUUAUUCUAUUGAUCGGCGAGAAAAAGCCAAAAAAAAAUCAUCUUUGAAUAUCUUUGUGUUAAAAUUUGAUGUGUUGAAGAAUUGAUUUGAUGAAAAGGUCAAGUCUUGAGGAUUUGUUGGGGUUGUUGGGAGUUAGAUCAGAUUAGUCUUGUUUCUUGUCGUUUGCUCGAUAGGUUUGAUCCUGUAUUCAGAUCUCUUUCUAUUUGGAAUCUGGUUCAAGAGGCUCAAUGAAAUUUUUGGGGCUGGUUUUUUGUUUGCUAUCCAAAAUCGAGGGUUUUCUUGGGGGUCCUGAACAUUAGGUUAGGUUAGAUCAAAAUUCUUUUGAUUCAGAAGGUGGAUUGAACGAUAGGAAAUUGAGGUGCUUUAGGGUCCUCGUUAGAGUGGGGAUGGCACUGAAUUUCUCAUCUUGUUCUAUCUUUUCUACCGCAUUCGUUACCGAUGAUGAGUUCUGCCGACCGAGAUGUGAGAGGAGCCAACCCUUUAGUUACCCUUUUUCGUCUGGCUGGGAAAAUGGAAAUGGUUAUGGCUGGGAUAGCGGGUCAACAGGCGUGGAUGGUGCUUGUGAUCCAGUCGAUCUGCUACCUGAUGACCCAUUUGGGAUGGGGAUCGAUGGUGCAUUAGCCAGUUUUCUCGAGGUCGGUGGUGGAGACUUGUAUGGGUGGGCUUUGUUGUGCUCGCCGGAAACUGAGAUUUACCAUGAUGGUUGGAUGGACGAACUUGAUGGUUGGGCGGAGGAGAGCUUCAUGGUGGCUUCUGUUCAUGAAGCCCAAGAUGGAAACUUGGAAUCUGCCUUGGAUAUGCAAAAAUCUUUAAACUCUGAUCGUGCAGCGGAAGCCCACUCUAGUGUGGAUGAGGGUCUUCCGCAUGAGGGACUGCUCUACUCGCUUGGGUAUUUGGGCAUUCAUGAUCUUCUCUCAGUGGAAGGGGUCUGCAGGUCCUUGCGUUUGGCUGUUCAGAAUGAUGCUCUCUUGUGGAGAUGUAUACAUAUUGAUUCUCUUUUGGGUGAGAAGAUAACAGAUGAUGUUCUGUUGCGGUUAACACAGAGAGCUCAAGGGAAUCUGCAGUGCUUGAGCCUGUCAGGUUGUUCAAGGAUUACAGAUGAUGGCGUGAAGUGUGUACUUGACAAUAAUCCAAAGCUGAAGAAGGUUAGUAUUAAUAAGAAUGAUCGUGUGUUUACCAUUUCUAUCAUUCUGAACUCAUUAUUUGAUUAUUUCUUUAUGUUAUAAUUUAACUUGCAGAAGAUUUUUUUAGCAUGACUGUAUUUAGUAGUGCUUCUGCUAAUCAUUUACUAUUUAGAUAUUCAGCACAAGUGAACAUAAAGCCAUCAUGUCAUAGAUUACCUCUAAUGUUAUGGUUUGGUGAAAGCAUCAAAGAUGAAAGCUAAUUCCAUGUAUGAGUUGUAUGUAGCUCUUAAUGUAGCAUAAAUAUAACAAUAACAGAUAAACUUGCUUUCCUGGUCUAGGGUGUUUUUUGGCCGGUCACAACUUACAUCAACUCGAUGGAACUCAUCGAAUCACUUGAUUGUAAGGGAAAAAAGUAAUAUGAAGUUAUCGAUAGAUGUAUUGUCUUUACUUGUAUAAAUUUUCUCAUUUUGGAUGGUGAUUCUUGCUACUUGGUGCAAUUUAUUUAAUGCAUGCUAACCAGUUAGUUUAGAUCACUGUUCAUAUUUUAUUCGUGCAAAGUAAUGAGCUUAAUAAAAAAGACUGGGAAAUAAAUGUUUAACCAUGAAAUAGCAGACUUUGUUGACCUCUUAACUGCCAGAUUAGCUGUAUUUGAAGAUUUAUUGAUGAGAUUUUUUAACUUCAUGAGCCUCUUCGUUGUCUAGAUUUUGUUAUGAGACCAACAGUUGCAUGCACAAAUAUGUAUAUGUUUCUAAUUUCUUAAAUUUUCUGGCUUGACAUUUUGACCUUUUGAAAUUUUUGUAUAUGACUUGUUUUCUUUGAAGAAUAGAUCUUCUUGAAUUAUGCAUCAACUUCUAUUUUCUAAGUGGAAGAUAAAUGGCAUAUCCAUUUUAGUGCAAGAUUUUCAAACAAUUAUCUUCCUGAGAAGAUGAACUAUCUUCCAAAAUUUCUAUAUGGUUUAAUAUUUUCUUAAAGAAAAAUGUACAUGUUACAAAUGAAGUGUAAUACUUCCCAAACCCAAUUCUUAGGAAGCUUAGUUAAAAACCUAAUAGUAUAACUCUUAUAAAUUGGUUAUUUUCUUCUUAUCAAUGAAAGAAUUUGAAUGAAAGUCCAGAAUGAUUGAGCUACCGAAAUCAAUCAAUAAAUAUGAUCUAAUACUUUGUCCAAUAUAUAUGAGUUGCUUCUGAAUUCCUUGUAUUGCCUAUUAAUUGAAUUUAAAAUUUAACAAGGGGUGAAAUUGAAGAAGUUGAAGAGUCCAAGCAGAUAGAAAUUAUUUCCCUUCUUUUCAAAUUGGUAUCAAAUAACUAGUAGUCCUUUCUUAUUAUGAUUAUAGAGCCACUGCUUGUAGUCAUAGUGGGUAAGUUACAUGUUGGAAGGGAGAUUUAGAGGAUAGGUAUUUAGAUGUGGAGUUUUCUUUUUUGUGUGCAUAGGAUAAGUGAUGAAGACGGGAUUCGAAUCCAGGACCUUACGAUAAUCUGUCAAGGUCUUUACCAUUUUAGCUAAUUGACACCUUCAAAUCUGUUUGUUGUAAGAAUUGAACAAUUAGUUGUUAAUAUAAGUUAAACAUUAUCAUCUAAGCUAUAAAGUAUAUAAGAUGAUGUGGAUGGUUGACCAUAUAUUAGCAAAAGGAUUGUGGUGGUGUUUUUAACUGAUCUCCUCACUUGGUUUGGUUGGAGGAGCAGAGGCCACCUGCGCGAAAUUUUUGGAAUUAUACUGUAUUGCAUUAGUCAGAAUCAGCAAGGUGGGCUUAACAAAGUCCAUGAUAUGUGAGAAUCACUUAAAAAAUGGAGAGGCUCUCAAGGGAUCUUGUAUUGUAGUUUAGAUGUUCUUUGUUAUGCAUAUAGGAUAUCCCAAUGAAUGUGAACAUGCAUAAUGUUUUCUAAUCUGAACAGUGUCAUGAUUUUUUUACUAGAUGUAUGCUUUCUAUUGUUUGUUCAAAUUUAGCAAUUUUUGAUCAACCAUGCUUGGGCUAUUUCUUCUUUUAAUUCUUGUUUAUGGAUGAUAAUAUGUAACACCUGAAGUUUAGUCCCACAUUGGAAGUGGGUGAAAACUUUAACAUAGUUAUAAGGACUGAUGAGUGCAUUAUUAUUAAUUUAGGCUUAAAUAUUAUGGGCCAAUGGUCCAAACUUAAUAAGUUAUUUGGAUAGCAAUCUCAUUGGGUUGGGUCACAAUAAAUGAUAUCAUAAGUGCUUGGCUAGGUAAGGACAUCAAGUUAUUUGGAUAGUAACCUCAUUGGGUUGGGUCACAAUAAAUGAUAUCAUAAGGGCUUGGCUAGGAAAGGACAUCCUUGACGGCAUGACAUAAUCUCUCCUUAUGUAGGGGAGAUUAUAAUACUUGAAGUUUACUCCAAUAUAAGUAGGUGAAAACCUGAAUUUAGAUGAGUAUAGUAUAUUUAAUAAUAUGGCAAGCAUUGAUUUAGGCUUUGUAAGUAUUGAUCAAUCAUCUCUUCAAGUUGGGUCGUAGUACUAGCUAAAUAAUAUUUAUGUUUCACAAAUAUAUUACAUAAUAUACUUAUGAUAUAGGUUAUUUGAAGUUAAAGUCAUGAGGCGUCCUUGCGACAUAUGCGUCCGCAAAGGGUCAGCCUAGUUGCAACCUCAUACAUGUCCCGAAGGAUCUGUAAAACAGAAAGUUGAUUAGAUUGAAAAUGAGCGACAGACAAGUCUCGACGCCCCGCGAAGAGGGAAGCUUUACAAGCAAUUCAGCGAGCACCUUGAGUGCAAGAGAGAAAAGAGAGGAAGGAGAAAACAAGGAUUUUAGAAGGUAGAACGAACAGGUGCAAGUCCACAAACAAUUGCUCACCGGGUGCCGAGCGUGAAGGCAAGUUCCCUUUAAGUUAACGUGCGAACUUGUGAAGAUUGUUCAACGCCCGACACUUUACCGAAGCCCCAUCCAGCCCCAUGCCACCCGGGGGGUUCUAGGGUGCUGAGAUGGUUGACAUUUUGCGUGCAGCUGCGGUCUGCAUAAAACAGGUCGUGGCACGCGAAAACGGAGCCAUUUUGGGGCAGUUUUGCUCGGCGUGGUGAGCGGUCGCACUGUAGCGCUGCAAUUCGUUCGAACAUGCAUUCUUACAAGUAAAAACACAUAAAACCAAGGCAAAACAUGCUGCCAAGCAUUUGUACAUAGAUGCAAAAGCAACGAACGGUUCGUUUAACGAAGUUGUUGCAGGUGCACAAUGAUCGUUCAUGACAGUACGUCAAAUUUCUAUGCUUAUGUAAUGUGUAUGUUAAUGCUAUCGUUAUACCUAAAUCAUGGCAAUUAUAUCUAUCAAAACAAACUUUUGAAAAUAUGUUAUAAAAGUACAGCAUUGCAAUAGCAUUGUAUUGCAGUAAAUUAAGCUUAUUUUACUUGAUUUGAUUCAAAAGUGAAGUGAGAGAAAAAGAUCAGCGAGUACAUGUUAAAUUUGGAACAUGUGGUCAUGCUAUGCAUAUGAUGCCUGAAUGAAGAAGCUUAGCUCUAAAUAUAAACUGCAAUUUGUUGAAAUUUUUUGGCAAAAUCUCCCCAAAAUAGAGUUUACCCGACUUGCAAAUUCAUUUAAAUUCUAACAGAAAUUGGUUAACAACUUAAUAUAUAAUCAAUCGACAUAGUUGUUAUCAACCAUACAACUAUACAGUUCUGCAUCUGUAUGAAGUAAUCUUAUUCCAGUUCAUUGCCAAACUAUCUUAUAUCAUCAUAAAAUUUUCUAAAAACCCAUAAGAUAUAUAAAAGUAAAUAUAUACAAAAUUUCAGCUCAAAAUAUAACUAUUUAAAGGUCCAACUAUCCUCUUAGUUUGACUAUCAUCAUCUCGUUCUGUUGGAACUAGAUUAAUGAUGUCUGAACUUUUAAGGCUCAUAUCUUGGUGUAUAGAAAUAUUAUUCACUUAAUUCUAAAGCCUAUGAAAUCCUAAGGCAUGCUUCUAACACAUAUAUAGAAGUACAUAAGCCAAUGUAUUAAUGAGGGUUUCGAACUGGCUAGAAUGGAAUCCUCCGAGUACUCACUGUUAAUAUAUCUUUAUGCACAGGCUUUGGAUUAAAGCUAUUCAAGAACCCAUAGAACCAUAACUUGUACAUAUACAACUUAUUCCCCUUUAGCAACUAUCUUAUGGUUAAACCUGUAUAUUUCUAUGGUCUGUCAUGUCUGAGUUUUUUGUACUUUAGUAUGUUAAGGCCAGGGAUGUUUUUGUUGGUGGUUAUAUUCCCCCUCUGCAAAUACUUGAUUUUGAUUUUCUAAAGUUAAUUAAGGAUUGCAAUCUGCAUGUUAUAAUCUAGUGAAAAGGAAAAAGAAGUUUUUUGCCCCCAUCUAUCUACUGCAUGUUCUGGUUAUAUUUAUCAUAUUCCAUUUAUGUAUGUAUGCUAAUUUGGUAUAAUGUAUGACCUUACAUGAGAGCACGAGCUUUGGUGACAUGAUAGUGACAACUGUUCAAGUUGUGUAAAUAUCUUCUUGCUUGCAAGGAUUAAGGCUGCAUAUGUUGAUCCUUCUUAGACUCCAUAUUAACAGGAGCUUUUUCACCAUGCCAACUUUUUUCUGACCAUGCAUAGUUUAUUUAAUUGUGACAUGUUUAUAUUAAUGAUUAUUUUUUUGGUUAUGCAGCUAAGUGUUGCUGGAUGUGUGAGACUAAGUCUUGAUGGGAUCAUAAAUAACCUAAAGGCUUUCCGAUCACAAGGUACACCAGGAAUAGAGCACCUCAAGCUUGGGAGGCUUUUCAGCAUAUCAGGAGAACAAUUUGGAGCGUUGAAGUUGUUGCUAGGCAUAGACCAACAUCAACAGGCCCAAGCUCAGAAGCCAAGGUUCUACCACACAAGUGACUCAUCUCUUGUUUGCGAUGACGACUGCAUCAUUGAUGUUGAAAUGUGCCCAGUGUGCCAGAAAUACAAACUCGUUUAUGACUGUCCUUCAGAGGGUUGUCAAGAAAAGGGUCCUAAGCACUGCAGGGCUUGUGACUUUUGCAUUGCCAGGUGUAUCCAGUGUGGGAAAUGCAUCAAGGAUUGCAUGUAUGUUGAGACAUUUUGUCUCGAAUAUCUAUGUUCAGGUUGUUGGAAGGAAGCACUCGCAGAACAUAGAAGCAAUGAAGAGAAGUGAAUUUGCUUUAAUAUAGUGUUAGUUGUUCAUUCAAUUUGUUCCUUAAUAAGAAUUUCAAAACCAGGUGUGAUUUUAUUCUUUAUCUGUAUUGGGUUUGGAGGCUUUGUACGUUUAUACCUUUUGGUGGAUCAGUAUUUGAUCUUCGUCAGUCUGGAAUUGGAGCAAUAUAUGGAAGAAAAAAUGAACCAUUAAUAAAGAGAUGAACUUGAAAAAAGGAAAAGGAAGUUGUUGACAUUAUACAGUGUUUCUUUAGUACAAUCAGCCAAAAAACAAUACAACCAUGAAGAUAAGAUGUGGAAGCUGAUUGCCAGGUAUUUUUAACUUGCUUGUCUAUUUUAUUCUUUCCAGGUUGAAUUGGAUACGAGACUAACUACAGACUUCUCUUCUAUUGCCUCUUUUGCAGUGAAUCAAUUGCAGCUCAACAUCAAUAUUACCUGUGUGUCAAAAUAUGUGUGCUAAUACGCCAGUGAACUGUGUCCAUGCUGAAAAUUAGAAGAUCAUCUCAGGUGGCUGUCAGAGGACACUCUUUCGUCAGCACAUCGGUUCGUGCUCUCUGCCCUAGCCAUGGAGAGCCGAGAGUUCAUCCUCCCAAUUCAGUAGAUUGCUAGGAGUGAUAUCUCAAGGAUUGCUGAUCCAUUUGGUAAGUAGUGUGGUAGUUGUUCUAUGCAAUUUCAUGUUGAAAAUGGUUUUCUGCAAAGCUGCACUAAAAAAAUGUCUUUGUGACUCCAAGAAUCCUUCUCUAGUGAUGGACUGUGAAUUUGAUUUCAUCUUAGCUGCACGCUGGAGUCAUCUAUACUCUCCAUUUUGGAGUUGCGAACAUUAUUUGUUGUCUUUAGAUUUGCAAUGACAAUGAUGAGUGCAGGGUGUACAGAAAUGGUUUCUUAAUCGAGUUCUAUAAAUUCUGUUGCACUAUAAGGAGUCUUGUCUUAAUAGGUAGGAUCUGUUUUGUUCAACUUAAAAGUUGUAUAGUUCUCCACUGGGUUUAUAUUGGUUGAAGUGUACCAAAGAUUUUUCAUGAAUUGAGUGAAUUUAUGGUGUGAGGGUAAAUUUAUAGUUGCAAGAUAGGAUAAGAGCUCUGAUUCCAAUGAUUCAAAAAGGAUUUCUUAGCACAGUCAUUCUAAAAAUAGAUGGAAAUAAAUUGUAUCCAUAAGACUUGAAUCUAUACCAAAGGUGUAGAAGACCUUUAUUAUUUUGAUUCUUACCAUUUUUUAUUGGAUAAAAAGAAGUUUAUGCAACAAAAUGUUUUAGCAAUAGAACAGGAUCAUGUCAAUGGUAAAGGUCUUUAUCUGAUAGGUUACUUGAAAAUUUCCAAGUAUAUUAAUUUUGUUCUAUUUUUGUACUUAAAAGUUAAUUUUGUUCUAUUCUUGUACUCCAAAAAUCCUGAAUGGGAAAGCUAAGAUAAGAUCUCCCAUUUAGGAUUUGUCAACCAUUGGCCUUCUGCAUCGAUCUACCGUUUUGUUUCAUCCGUUUCUUUCUUGGGUUCCUCCUCUUACAUUUUGUCUCCUUUGUAUUCGGUAUGACAUUGUGACAUUUUGUCUCUUACAUUUAUCACAAGGUUUACAAUAUUAUUCAAUAUAAUUUGGUAUAACAUUAUAAGCGUGGUAUUUAUUGGUUUGACGAUAUAUUAGUACAUGGACCAUUCAAGAUUAUAUUCUUUGAUACAGGGUUUGUAUCAUCCUAGUAUGUUCGACACAAUGCUUGUGUUACCCAAUGUGAGAAAGGAAUAACCUCACAUUAGUGUAACAUCUUAUUUUAAAUGUCAUUCAUAUUCUACAUGAAAUUUAUGACUAAAAGUAGGAUAUCAUUUUUUACUACUAUCAAUAAUAGUUUAGUGAAAAAGUAGAUAAUCUUAAGAGUAUAACAUAUUAAUUUACUAAAUAAAAUGAUAGGGUUUCCUCGACACAUAAUGAUUUUAACACAUGUAUAUAAUUAUAAUAUUUAAUAAAAAAAUAUGUAUAUAUAAUUAUAAUAUCUAAUCAAAAGAAAAACACAUAAGUAACAAUAUAUCCGAAAUUUAUACACAUAAAAAAUGCUAUAAGUCAUUGUUUGUAUUUGUAUAGAUUUUGGCUCUUUUAUCGAAUCAUUAGGUGGGAUAUUAGUAUUCUUAUAUGUAAAAUAUGGUCUAUAAUGAGUAAUCAUUUAGUAAGUAUAAGUCUUUAUAGGUGAGUAUAUGCCAUGUUAUGUAUAUAAUAUUUUAAAAUCAUAGGUAUAAGACAUUUAACGGUAAACACUUCAUCGUAUGACUUAUUUAGCAAGCAUAAUCCUACAACAUAGUAUAUUAACAUAUGCACAAUAAAAAGAUCAAAAUUUUAUAUCGAAAUAACUCAAAAUAUUUAUAUGCACAUGUAGGAAUCGUAGCAUAGAUUUUUACAUCUCUUAUUAUAACCUAUAUGUGUAUUCCCAUAUUGCACGUCAUUGUAAUAUCUAUAUACGCUCCUACAUUAUACUCUCAGGAACGGUUGUUACACACCUACAAUAAUUUUGGGUCGUUCAUUACUUUUGUUUGCUUAUACAUAUAUUUGGGUAAUAUGUUUUGCCUCGUCUUUUAGUGUUUUUGUUUAAAAACUAUAAGCAUCAAUAGUUGCAAGGUCGUAGAGUGAUCGCUCACCAGAAUAAGUAAAAUUAUCCCAAAAUGGCCUAGUUUUUGUAUGUAAUGGCCUAUUUUCUAUAGAUUGCAGUGUGAAAAAAAAUGUUAGCUAUCUCAACACCUUGGAACCUUGAGGGUGACACCGGGGGGAUGAGAGUUUGGGGUAAUGUUGGAUGUUGAUUGAAUUCAUAAGUUCACACGUUAAGCUUACGAGAACUUGUCAACACACCUAACACUCUAUGAGUCGUUGUUUGUGGACUUGUGACUAUUCGUUUGCCUUCUAAAUACUAUAAGUGCUUUGCAAGCCAAUCAUAUGAGUGAUAGCACGUGUGACACUGCAUAAUAUUUUUUGUUAUUAUUAUUAUGACAUUUUAUCACUUUAUAUUAAUGAUAUAUAUUGUGACGUCCUUGAAUCUGUGUAGUAGGAAUUGAAUCAUGAUAAUGAGACCAAUUCGCUUAUAAACGUAGACGCUAAAUAUUCCCGGUCAUAAGUUACUCGAGAGGGAUAUUGAAAUAAAUGGACAGACUAGUGUGCUAUACACCCGUCUAUAUGAUGGAAGCAAUUAGUCGUAUAGCUACUUGUGUGGUGACAUUAGGGGUAUAGUGCAGGUUCUCAUUGGAGAAUGAGUUCACUAAAUGAUCCACUUGUGGAAUAUUUAUUGGUUAAUGAUACCUUAUCGUCAAAUAGCAAUUUCGUAGUCCCAAUUGUGCGUUUGGUCCUUAAACUCGAGAUAGCAAUACUUUAUUGGUUAAUGAUACUCUUUUCUAUUUUAAUUAGAUUAUUGUGUAAUUUGUUACUAAAUAUCCUAGCUUUUCAAAUUGAAAACAUAGUUUUUUCUUUUAAGACAUUCCCCCAUAUGAUACUUUCCAUAUUCAAUGUAAAUGGGUCUUUGCAUUUAAGAUGAUUGAGAAAACUAAGAUGUCUUUUUUUUUUUUUAAGGACAUUUGAGUUGUCUUUAUUAUUAUCAUUGACUUGGGUAUCAUUUUCCUUUGUUAUCCAGAAUUUAUUAUGAGGGCUUGUUAUAAAAAAUAAUAUAAUUUUUUAGUAUAUCAUGAUUACGACAUAUCUAUUAGGUUUGAAAAAUCUUUUACUGGACGUCCUUUUAUCUCGAAAGCUUUUUUUAUUACUAUGGAAUAUAGAAUAUCCAAGGUAUUUAUUAUCAUCUUCACAUUCUAAUAAAUUUCUACUCUAAGUCCUUAUAGAGAUUGAUUCAUCCUCAAGGUAUUAGUGUUAACCAUGUAGGGUGUAAAUUAGGAAAACUUCUUGAACUUUUUAAUGUAAUCUAAGCCUUCUUAUUUGAGGUAAACAAAUUUUGUCAUCUUGGUUUGAUUAGUGGGCUGCAUUGAAAUAUAUGUUUUAAAGUUCUUAUUAUUUUUUUCUAGAUCAUUUAUUUAGUAUCUAUAAUUUUUGUUCUUGCAUCUCAUUACAUGAGUAUUUUCUACAGCAUAAAUAUUGUACAAAUAACUUUAUUUUCAUCUGAAAUCUUUAUGUACCUAAAUAUUCUUUUAAUAUUUUCUUUGGUCAUUAAUAGAUCUAUAUCACAUUCAAAGACUAUUGAUCAAUAUUUCUAAACCUCUCACUUGUUGAUUCUAAAAUAUCAUGUCCUUGAAUCGUUUCAAGCAUCACCUCUUAUUCUCGGGCCAAUAAUUGCUCAAAGUUAUCUAAAUUGUCUCUUUACCAAUUCUGUUAGUUUAUUAAUUAUUGCAUCUCUUUGAUCUUCUUACGUGGAUGUCUCUCUUCCAUCAGGAGUCUCUUUUUGACAUUACUAGAGCUAUUAGCUUUUUCUUUUCUUCUCAUAUUAUUUUCUUGAUUAAUCAUAAGAUGUUCACACCCUAGUUGUCAAAUAUAAGGAUAUUAUAUAAUAAUAAAAAAAUCAAUAUAACUCAAUUAUUAAAAUUUACAGGAUAGUUGAGUAGUGUGUUUUAUACUUUUGUAAAUACAAAUAAUCUACAAGAGUCAUGACCUAGGCUUUAAUAUCAUCAUACUCCUAAGCCCACCAAUACGAGAUAUGCAUGACUAAAAUAAAAUAUUAAUUUUUAGUUCUUUUAUUGUUAUUAAUAUGAGUGUAGUACAAAAGUAGAUAAUUUUGAAAGUAAAAUAUACUAAUUUAUCAAAUAAAAUUAUAAGGUUUCCUCUAUAUAUAUAUAGUGAUUUUGACAUAUGAACAUAAUUAUAACCUCUAAUUAAAAGAAAAAUAUACACAUAUAACAUGUUCAAUAUAUAUAUAUAUAUAUAUAUAUAUAUAUAUAUAUAUAUAUAUAUAUAUAUAUAUAUAUAUNNNNNNNNNNNNNNNNNNNNCACUAGCAUAAUCUCACACGUGCUCACUUCUCUAUCGAAUCACUUAAGUGGAGUAUUAGUAUUCUUUCUUACAAAAUAUAGUCUAUAGUGAAUAAUCACUUAAUAAGUAUAAGCCUUUAUAAUUUUAUUUAGGUGAGCAUAUAUCAUGUCAUAUAUAUAAUAUUUUAAAAUCAUAGACAUAAGAUAUUUAAUGAUAAACACCUCAUCCUAUGACUUAUUUAGUAAGUAUAACCUUACAACAUAGCAUAUGCACAAAAAAUAAAUAAAAUUUUACAUCGAAAUAACUUAAACUUUUAUAACUUUAUUUAGGUGAGCGUGUAUCAUGUAAUAUAUACAAUAUUUUAAAAUCAUAGACGUAAGACAUUUAUUAGUGAACAUGACUUAUUUAGCAAGCAUAAUCUUACAACAUAGUAUAUGGACAAUAAAGAGCACACACACAUGCAUUUAUAUAUACAAUAUGCAUACAAUAUUUUUAUAUAAUUGAGCUUAUGCAUAUAAUAUGCUUAUGUAAUAUGUAUAUUAACAUUGAGCUUAUGCUUAGAUCAUGGUUGUCAUUAUUAUUUGAAACAUACUUUCUGAAAUACAUUAUAAAUAUAAUAAUUUAUAUUAUCACUAUUUUAUAGUGAAUUACACUUACACAAAUCUGAUUUAACUCAAAGAUAAAAAUGUUAGUGAAAAAUCAUAUUUCUUAAUGAUCGAGUAUUCUAGAGAGUGGUAAACGUAUCAAAUUAACAACAUAGGGUCAUUAGAUAUAUUAAUUAAGAGCCAUAUCUUUUGAAUUCCUAAUUUAUAAUAAUUUAUAUUUUUUUUUAUAAGAUCCCUUCUUAAAUAGAUUAUAUUCAACUUGAAAAUUUAUCUUAAAUAAAGUAUCUCAUAUUGAAACACUUAUUACUCUAUCUACCAAUAUUAGAUUAAAGUCAUAUUAGAGGUCUUAGAAUGGUAAGAGAUUCAUACAAAAUAUAUCUAAAAAUUAAAUAUUAAUUUGAAGCUUAGGUUACUUAAAAGUAGUUAAAAAUAUCAGUACAUAAUCUGUAAAAUUAAAAUCCUAUAUAUAAUAAGGACAUAAUUGAGUU